UAAAAGAGAGUAAUGAUAAUGAGGUUGUAAUUUAAGAGUGAGUAAUGAUGAUGAGGUCAUAGUUUAAAAGAGGGCAAUGAUGAUGAGGUCGUAGUUUAAGAAUGAGUAACAAUGAUGAGGUUGUAGUUUAAAAGAGAGUAAUGAUGAUGUGGUUGUAGUUUAAAAGUGAGUAACGAUGAUGAGGUCGUUGUUUAAAAGAGAGUAAGAAUGACAAGGUCGCAGUUUAAGAGCAAAUAAUGAUGACGAGGUCAUAGUUUAAGAGCAAGUAACGAUGAUGAGGUCGUAGUUUAAAGCGAGUAAUGAUGACAAGGUAGCAGUUUAAAGCGAGUAAUGAUGACAAGGUCAUAGUUUAAAGAGAGUAAUGAUGAUGAGGUCAUAGUUUAAAGUGAGUAACAAUGACAAGGUCAUAGUUUAAAGUGAGUAACGAUGACAAGGUUGUAGUUUAAAGUGAGUAACGAUGACGAGGUAGCAGUUUAAAGUGAGUAAUGCUGACGAGGUCGUAGUUUAAAGCGAGUAAUGAUGACAAGGUCAUAGUUUAAAGAGAGUAAUGAUGAUGAGGUCAUAGUUUAAAGUGAGUAACAAUGACAAGGUCAUAGUUUAAAGUGAGUAACGAUGACAAGGUUGUAGUUUAAAGUGAGUAACGAUGACGAGGUAGCAGUUUAAAGUGAGUAAUGCUGACGAGGUCGUAGUUUAAAGCGAGUAAUGAUGACAAGGUCAUAGUUUAAAGAGAGUAAUGAUGAUGAGGUUGUAGUUUAAAGUGAGUAACGAUGACGAGGUUGUAGUUUAAAGUGAGUAACAAUGACAAGGUCAUAGUUUAAAGUGAGUAAUGAUGACGAGGUUGUAGUUUAAAGUGAGUAACAAUGACAAGGUCAUAGUUUAAAGUGAGUAACGAUGACGAGGUUGUAGUUUAAAGUGAGUAACGAUGACGAGGUUGUAGUUUAAAGUGAGUAACGAUGACAAGGUCGUAG